UACGUAGGUGGCAAGCGUUGUCCGGAUUUACUGGGCGUAAAGAGCGCGCAGGCGGUCGUUUAAGUCGAAUGUGAAAGCCCCCGGCUCAACUGGGGAGGGUCAUUCGAUACUGAUCGACUUGAAGGCAGGAGAGAGAAGUGGAAUUCCCAGUGUAGUGGUGAAAUGCGUAGAUAUCAGGAGGAACACCAAUGGCGAAGGCAGCUCGCUGGGACGGUACUGACGCUGAGGCGCGAAAGCGUGGGGAGCAAACAGG
rnacentral:rRNA from 1 species